rnacentral:rRNA from 1 species
UUCUGGCUCAGGAUGAACGCUAGCUACAGGCUUAACACAUGCAAGUCGAGGGGCAGCAUGAUCAAAGCUUGCUUUGAUUGAUGGCGACCGGCGCACGGGUGAGUAACGCGUAUCCAACCUUCCCUAUAGUAGUGGAUAGCCCGGCGAAAGUCGGAUUAAUACACUAUGUUGUAUUUUAGAGGACAUCUGAAGAAUACCAAAGGCUUGCCGCUAUAGGAUGGGGAUGCGUCUGAUUAGAUAGUAGGCGGGGUAACGGCCCACCUAGUCGACGAUCAGUAGGGGUUCUGAGAGGAAGGUCCCCCACAUUGGAACUGAGACACGGUCCAAACUCCUACGGGAGGCAGCAGUGAGGAAUAUUGGUCAAUGGACGGGAGUCUGAACCAGCCAAGUAGCCGUGCAGGAUGACGGCCCUAUGGGUUGUAAACUGCUUUUAUACGGGGAUAAAGUGAGCCACGUGUGGCUUUUUGUAGGUACCGUAUGAAUAAGGACCGGCUAAUUCCGUGCCAGCCGCCGC